GACGGAGGGUGCUAGCGUUGUUCGGAAUCACUGGGCGUAAAGGGCGCGUAGGCGGCCAAGGCAGUCGGAUGUGAAAGCCCGGGGCUCAACCUCGGAGGUGCAUCCGAUACUCUUUGGCUGGAGGCCGGAAGAGGAGGGUGGAAUACCCAGUGUAGAGGUGAAAUUCGUAGAUAUUGGGUGGAACACCGGUGGCGAAAGCGGCUCUCUGGUCCGGACCUGACGCUGAGGCGCGAAAGCGUGGGGAGCAAACAGGAUUAGAAACCCCCGUAGUCC
rnacentral:rRNA from 1 species